rnacentral:rRNA from 1 species
CAGUCGAGCGGUAGAGAGAAGCUUGCUUCUCUUGAGAGCGGCGGACGGGUGAGUAAUGCCUAGGAAUCUGCCUGGUAGUGGGGGAUAACGCUCGGAAACGGACGCUAAUACCGCAUACGUCCUACGGGAGAAAGCAGGGGACCUUCGGGCCUUGCGCUAUCAGAUGAGCCUAGGUCGGAUUAGCUAGUUGGUGAGGUAAUGGCUCACCAAGGCGACGAUCCGUAACUGGUCUGAGAGGAUGAUCAGUCACACUGGAACUGAGACACGGUCCAGACUCCUACGGGAGGCAGCAGUGGGGAAUAUUGGACAAUGGGCGAAAGCCUGAUCCAGCCAUGCCGCGUGUGUGAAGAAGGUCUUCGGAUUGUAAAGCACUUUAAGUUGGGAGGAAGGGCAUUAACCUAAUACGUUGGUGUCUUGACGUUACCGACAGAAUAAGCACCGGCUAACUCUGUGCCAGCAGCCGCGGUAAUACAGAGGGUGCAAGCGUUAAUCGGAAUUACUGGGCGUAAAGCGCGCGUA